AUUGAACGCUGGCGGCAUGCCUUACACAUGCAAGUCGAACGGCAGCACGGGAGCAAUCCUGGUGGCGAGUGGCGAACGGGUGAGUAAUAUAUCGGAACGUGCCCAGUAGUGGGGGAUAACUGCUCGAAAGAGCAGCUAAUACCGCAUACGACCUGAGGGUGAAAGGGGGGAUCGCAAGACCUCUCGCUAUUGGAGCGGCCGAUAUCAGAUUAGCUAGUUGGUGGGGUAAAGGCCUACCAAGGCAACGAUCUGUAGUUGGUCUGAGAGGACGACCAGCCACACUGGGACUGAGACACGGCCCAGACUCCUACGGGAGGCAGCAGUGGGGAAUUUUGGACAAUGGGCGCAAGCCUGAUCCAGCAAUGCCGCGUGCAGGAAGAAGGCCUCGGGUUGUUAAACUAGCUUUGUUCAGGAAGGAAAUACCUCUAG
rnacentral:rRNA from 1 species